GUGUACCUAACACUUCUGCACCACUUCUACUACCAUUGAAACAGUAUUGGGAAGAUUAGCAUGGCCCCUGCAUAAAAUUGAUAUGCAAAUUAAUGAAGUGUUCCACAUUUUU
rnacentral:snRNA from 1 species